GGGUUGUGAGGUUAAGCGACUAAGCGUACACGGUGGAUGCCCUGGCAGUCAGAGGCGAUGAAGGACGUGCUAAUCUGCGAUAAGCGUCGGUAAGGUGAUAUGAACCGUUAUAACCGGCGAUUUCCGAAUGGGGAAACCCAGUGUGAUUCGUCACACUAUCAUUAACUGAAUCCAUAGGUUAAUGAGGCGAACCGGGGGAACUGAAACAUCUAAGUACCCCGAGGAAAAGAAAUCAACCGAGAUUCCCCCAGUAGCGGCGAGCGAACGGGGAGCAGCCCAGAGCCUGAAUCAGUAUGUGUGUUAGUGGAAGCGUCUGGAAAGGCGCGCGAUACAGGGUGACAGCCCCGUACACAAAAAUGCACAUGCUGUGAGCUCGAUGAGUAGGGCGGGACACGUGGUAUCCUGUCUGAAUAUGGGGGGACCAUCCUCCAAGGCUAAAUACUCCUGACUGACCGAUAGUGAACCAGUACCGUGAGGGAAAGGCGAAAAGAACCCCGGCGAGGGGAGUGAAAAAGAACCUGAAACCGUGUACGUACAAGCAGUGGGAGCACAGAGCAAUC
rnacentral:rRNA from 1 species